GGAUAAUGGUAGCCAAACUCCCACGGCCUCUUUAGGCCUCCCCUGGGGCCCUGAGGCCAGCAAGAGGGCAGGUCAGGGAGGGGCCAGGAGGAGGAGCAGGCAGGGAGGCUGCUGGUGCCUUUGGCUCAGCCAGUGGGGCUCUCAGCCCUCUGGAGUGUGCCCUAGGGACCAGUUUGUCCAUGCCCCUGCCUCCAGGCCAGUCACUAGGACCAACAGAUGUCCCAAGGAAGACACCGGCCAUGACUGCAUCCUGGAACCAUAUCAAACUGGCAGCACUUACUUCUCUGGACUUGUUUUUGUUUCACCAAAUUUGCUGGAUCUGUUGGUGAACAGUCUCAGACUGCAAAGCAAGUCAGCACUACCACAGAGGGAAUCCCAAACUCGCUGCUGAGAACAGAACAGCUGUGCCCUCGCCGACUGGGACCCGAGUGACAUCUACUGGAGCAAGCAGGGGCUGCACGUGAGCAGGCAGCCAUUCGGUCACUCCCCGUCAUUCCAACACAAUCGAAUUUGUGUAGAAAAUUUACAUGCAUCAUAGGCUAUUUAUGAAUAUAUGCACACGUAGAAAGAGGAAAAAUACGCUUGGAAAUGGUAAACAUAACUUCAAGAUAGUAGUUACCCUUGGGUUCGGUAGGGGUGAAGGAGUGGUAAGGGUUUUAGUUUUAUCUUUAACCAUUUCUUUUUUCACUUACUUAUUUGUAGAGAUGGGAGUCUCACUAUGUUGCCCAGGGUAGUCCUGGUCUCAAGCAAUCCUCCCACCUUGGCUUCCCAAAAUGCUGGGAUUACAGGCGUGAGACACCAUGCCUGGCCACAAUUUGGUUUCUCUUUCAAAAGAUCCGAUACCAGUGUGCCAAAGUAUUGACAUCUAUUAAAUCUUUCAGGUGGUCCUACUGAGGUCUGUUUUUCUGUGCUUAUCUCUAAGUUUAAAAUCGUUCAUAAUAAACAUAUAGUUUAUAUUAAUAGUAAUAAUAUACAGUAUAUAUUAUACUAUAUAUUUAUUAUAUAGUAUAUACUUUAUAUUCAUUAUAUAUUGUAUACUUACAUUUAUGGAAGGAAAAUAAAAAACAAAAAUGGAAAAUUUGUGGUCCAGAUUCUUGGUCCCAAUGGUAGCAGGGCAGUUUAAUAGCAAAAGUUCUUAAUACUUGUUGGCUGCUGUUACCAUCAUUAAUAAGUAUCCUGGAGUUUACUGGAGUAACUGAACAGCAGUCGAAGCUCAUGUAUAGGCUAGAGGAGAAUCACGCUCUUCAACAGUAGUGACAAGAUGAAGAUACACUGAGAAGACUCAUUUAUUUGCUAUUAUUGAAAAAUUGUUCAUACCCCAUAGGAAGAUGUGGCAUAGAACAUCAGAAUGUUCUUAGAAUUGGGAAACUCUCAGGUAGGAGGCUGAAAGAGAAAGCCAAAAUGACUAUUUUAUUUCCAGAUUAAAG
rnacentral:lncRNA from 1 species